GGCGAUUAGCUCAGUUGGGAGAGCACCUGCCUUACAAGCAGGGGGUCACUGGUUCGAGCCCGGUAUCGCCCACCA
rnacentral:tRNA from 1 species